rnacentral:lncRNA from 1 species
UCAGGUUAGUACAUCAAGUUAUUUAAUAAUCGGUGACAAGCCAAAAAUUCUUCGACUGACCGUAGUCAAGUCGAUAUAAUUUCAAUCCAAUCUUGAUCGUAUUGGCAUAACAUUCUGCUUAGUUAAGACUAAGUCGGCAUAAUAGUCAUUCGACUAUGAUCGGCUUUUAUAGUGAAAAAUCGAAAUAUGUUUGGUACCGAGAUAAAAUCGGUAUUGUGGCUUUUAUAGUGAAAGCCAAAGUAUAAUUGAUAUGUCAAUUUUUAUAGUGAAAAAUUAAAAUAUAGUUGAUAAUCGAUGAAUUGAUCAUCCAUCUGUCGGUCCAUUAUCACUUUAUAGUUGGCUGAAACUUAUGAUUCUGAAAUUUAAUGUUUCAUUCUGAAUAAUGUAUACAC